rnacentral:tRNA from 1 species
GGUUCCAUAGUGUAGUGGCAAACAUUAAUCACUGUCUAUGAUUAGCGCCGGGUUCGAUUCCCGGUGGCACCGCCA